rnacentral:rRNA from 1 species
AAUAGAUACCCUGGUAGUCCAUGCCGUAAACGUUGGGAACUAGAUGUAGGGCCUGUUCCACGGGUUCUGUGGUCGUAGCUAACGCAUUAAGUUCCCCGCCUGGGGAGUACGGCCGCAAGGCUAAAACUCAAAGGAAUUGACGGGGGCCCGCACAAGCGGCGGAGCAUGCGGAUUAAUUCGAUGCAACGUGAAGAACCUUACCAAGGCUUGACAGGUAUAGGAAGAACACUGCAGAGAUGCAGGACUCUUUGGACACUUCUAUACAGGUGGUGCAUGGUUGUCGUCAGCUCGUGUCGUGAGAUGUUCGGUUAAGUCCGGCAACGAGCGCAACCCUGUCCUAUGUUGCCAGCACGUGAUGGUGGGAACUCAUGGGAUACUGCCGUGGUCAACACGGAGGAAGGUGGGGAUGACGUCAAAUCAUCGAUGCCCCUUAUGUCUUGGGCUUCACGCAUGCUACAAUGGCCGUACAAGGCUGCGAUACGUAGUGGAGCGAAUCCAAAAGCCGUCUCAGUUCGGAUUGGGUCG